UUCACCCAGAACCUGCAACUGCCCAGGAUC
rnacentral:piRNA from 1 species